UCGACUCGCAAAAUGAGGCCCCAUGGACAGGUUGCCCUCAGCUGUGCCUGCUUGUAUUAAAGACGCCUUCGGUGCACUUAGCCACACUGUUUUCCGGCGCGUGAUAACGUGAUACAGUCAGUAUGUAGAGCUCCUGGUCUAACAAUCGGGGAAAUGUGGAAAAGUGAUUUAUUUACUGCAAUUUAGCACUUCCUUGAAAAGCGAAACGGACUGUUGCCGUUGGACGCGGUUGCUGGACUCGACUCCAGCUUGGACACGGAAAGCGAACCUCAGACUCCACAACGAACAAAGAUGUACCUAGCAGGCGCGCUCAAUAGUGAGCACUGUAACAGACUGGCCUCCUAAUGGGAAAGAGCGCUAAGUACCUGUGUCCAGCACGCACCGACUCUGCUAGAGCAAACACAUCAACGUUAGGUAAACACUCACAUACCCCUCCAAUUAACCUCAAGUUCUCCUCGUGCUUCAUUGCUGGUGAGCGCAGCCUUCUUUAUUUAUUUUUUUUAUGACCUAAAACAUUUGGAAACAAAGAAUGCUAACAAUGUUUAAACGAUGUGCUACUACAGUAAGCGUUGAGUUAAGUGCACGUUGCUGCCAGUUUAAACGUUGCGUGAUUCUAGGUUUAGGUUCUGGCUGAGCAUCUUGUGAGAAGAUUAUAGUGAUGUAUUAUAAAUUCUGAACGCGCCCGCGCGCGCACACAACACAAACGCACGCACACACAUUAAUGGACGACAAAUCUGACAGGUCGUUUCGGUUCUCUGUCGGUUGGAAAGCGCAGAGUAAACAAAAAAAAAUUCUGUGGUUAAGCGAGGCUGGGAACUCUUUCAGAGUUUUGGCUUCGGCGGUUUUCGCUGGACGGUGAAGCGCAGCUUCUCGUGUUUUUUUCUUCUUCUUUUUGUCCAAGCCAUUAGUGUGAGAGUGAUAAACACCUGGAGUCUAUCAGGAACAAAGAAUGGCCUGUUCUGCCUCUCUCCAAACACAGUCAGGAGGGGAAUUACAAUGCGAGGAACACAGGAAUAGAACUUUUAUUGGCCAACAUGGCGGAGUUCUAGAUUAACCCUUUGAAGAGUAGGUUUUUUGGAAUGUUUUCUUUUUCUUCAACAUUCUAUGUCAAAGUUCUAGAACUCCACUGCUUUCAGUUACCAGCAGUGAUGGUGACCUCGGCAUUAGAAUGCUCAGCUAAGAACAUUCUAAUCACACGUUUGUCAUCUCACACCUUAAAGGGUUAAUGAAUUAAUGAAUGCCUAUCAUCUUUCUUCAUCCUUCUGCACGUAAAUCAUGUCACUGUGCCCAACUGCCCCCUCUGAUGUGGUGCUCACAAUCACCCUUGUUUACACAGUAGCCUUGAACAAAAUAAUCAAAAAUAGGGCCUACUAGUAAAGAUCUAAAUUUAUUGCACAUGUGUAGAUUUCCCCCCCAAAAAUGAACACUAAGCACAACGACGGUUUCAGGGGUCCUAUGAGUUGAAUGUUUUGCACUCUUCAGCUUUACCAAAGUGUCUGUAUGACAGAGCUAUGAGAAGGCAUGGGAAUUCAGUUUGAAUCAGUCUGGGUAUUUGAACCAAGGCGACGCACAGUUUUAACGCAGUCUUCCAAAGUCACAACGGCGUUUAACCGCAGGAACUUGUGUUUUUAAUCUUUUUUUGUAAAUAUGACUUGUUGAACUUAGCAGAAUGCACGCCCCGGGGACGAGCUUCGCCCCAGCCGAGGUCUUCCUGAGCUACUGCUGCGCCGUGUCCCCGUCCCGCUUGGGAGGCGCGCUCCAGUGCCGUCCCACUCUGGGAAUAAAACUUAAAAACAUGUUUUGAGUUAAAGUCACGCGGGGUGAAAAGGGUAAGUGGGCUUUUUUUAAAAAGUAAAAGUGGAUAUAAAAGAUGAAGACGCCGCUAUUAAAAGCAGACAUUUAUAUCGCGUACGAUAUUUCUUAAAGGGAAACUGCCCUCCUAAUUCAAUGUUAUUGUAUUCUGUUGAUCCCACCACUGCUGGAAAACUAGAGGGGGAAAAAAAAAAUCAUAUUUGUCUGAGUUGUGGCCGUCUAGAUAAUUUUACUCACCGGGCCCUGCAUAUGAAUCAUGUACCUGAUUCAGCAGUGUGUCCUGAAGACGUUGAGAAUGGGUCUGUCUGUGCUGUUUUCAUGCAAUGCAUACAUUUUUCAGAGACUGGAGACAUAUCUGUAAGACUGUGGGUUUUAUUUGCAGUCUUCAUCUUGACCGUGUUAUCAAUUUUUACCGUCAAAAUUGAUUUUGGGGUGAGGUUCCCCUUUAAGAGGUCUUCGUGUUGUGGUGGGGUAUUAAUUCCCAUUGCACAGGGCCUGCAUGCAGUGCUCUGUGUGUAUGUAAAAAGCAGGGGGUUUGACUGUGAGCCAGCCCUUCCCCCGGCUCGGUCUGGAGCUGUUUGAGGCCUUGCAGCCCCGGUGGAGCCUGCUGAAGUCCACCGGGCUCUCUCACUCCAGUGAAUCCAUCAUCCCGCCCUCGCCGUGCCCACUCACUGAGACCUUGUCAUGCCGGCAUCUUGGGUCCGUCUCCCAUCACAACCGAGCGCAAACAAGAGUUCCUAUCGGCUGGGCCGCUUUGCCACUUCAUCGUUUCUGUUCUUCGGCUGCUUCAGACGUCCAAGACAGGUUCCUUUGGCACUGGAAGGUGUUGUGAAUUGUAACAGCCGGAGAGGAGAGAGUGAUGGAGAGAGCGAGAGAGAGAGAGAGGGAGAGGGAGACCACCAACGGCUUUCUCACGUAAAGCAGCUGGAUGGAGAGCACGCCGCACUUCUGUACCUGGGCCUCGUUGCCUGGGCCUCGUCACGGCAACGGAUAACCUGAGGUCUGAAAUCGGGUCGUACCCCUGAAGUAGCCUGAGAGAAUCCCGCGCCACUGACAGGGACUGUGUGAAGAAAGGAACGUGUGUAAUGGUGCGUAACCAAAGCAGAAUCAGGUUCACCGUUUAAACCCCAUUCAGGUAGAAUACCCCUCUCAACACUUAACGGAAAGCCAUGAAGUAAAAUGUAGACUUUGCCUAGAACCACGCACCAUUUCCUCUUCUCUUCGGUUAAAAAUAUAAUGUUAGACUUAGUUUCUGUUCUUCACAGACCUAGUUGUGAACUAUAGCUGCCACCAAAUCAAUAAAUAUGAUUGUGUGUUUGAACUGGAAAAUAAACGUCAUGCACAUUUACUUGUAAGUCAAAGUCAAGGGCGAAUGUUGUUUGAAUCGUAUCGACUUAUCACUUUGUAAACUAUAGUACCUGAGCUCAAAGAAGCUUGCAGUUAAUAUGGAUAUUCCAUUAUUGUCAAGGAGACAACAGACCAAAGAUGCUGAAACUUCAGACAUGACAAUUCUCCACAUUUAGUGGUUUUUAUGAAGAUUGCAGCAAAUUAAGUCUAAUGAGAAGCGUCCAGAAGCCCAAGGCUUUUGUGGACAUGUCUGUUGUUCCUGGCACUGCAUGGGCGGAGGUUGGGUUGGGGGGUUAAUCUACGUCCCAAGGUCUUGCGUCUGUCAGCAUCUGGGGGUGUCAGUCCACAGGCCUGCGUGGGAGUCUGUUUAAAAACAACGGAUUUAACCCUCUCAUCCAUGCACACGCGCAGGCGCGCCACACGCACACACCCGCACACCACACACACACACACACACACGCGCGCACAGCUUGCAGCUAUCCCCAGGUGCACAACCUGACCAGUCAGGCACGGAAGGGUUCUGCGGAGCGGGCUCGCUUCGUUUCGUAUUGUAAUGACGAUAACAGCAGGUUUGGCCGCGGACGCGCUCGUUAAUCGCCGGUGUCUGGCCUCUCUCCUCGCGUGUCACCUGUCGCCGUCAGAAUGGAAAGCAAGCCGUUCCGCCCGCGCUUUUCUCCCGGUGCGAAAUACGUCAGAGAGAGAGAGAGAGGGAAAAAAAAAACAGCCCUAGGCUUAAUCUCACAGAGUGGCCAUCGAACAUUCACUAAGACUUGAGUUCACAGUUGCUCAGGCGUUGGUGUAUAUAUACACUGUGUAUAUUUAUUUAACAACAUCAAUUUUGAGUCCACAUUUUAUUUUCCAUUUAGUUUUAUUUGUUCUUACAACAACCUUUGUUCAUAGUUUAUUUAGAGUUUCAAUUGUUUUUUUUGUUUUAGUUUUCUCUCUGACCUUGCUAGUCUUAGGCGUGGUGGAUAGGCCUGUUGAAGAUUAUUAACAUUUGCUCCCAUUGGACCUCCCGCUGUUUCUCGGCCAUACCUGUUACAGCUGCUUCGAAUAAAUUCUGCGUACAAUUUCGUUUAAAGAAAAUUCGCAUAUCAGAUAUUUAUUAGCUAAAACAAAAACAUUUAAAUAGAUUCUAUAAAGAUGACAGGGGCCAAAAUCUGCAAUUAAUUAAGUGCUGAUUUCCCCCUUUAAACAUUACUCUCGACACCCCGCAAUAGGAAGACUCCCAGAUUACUGGAGCGCCAGGAUAUUUUCAUUAUUUCAAACUUUACGCGAAGCAGCAUUCCUCGGUCCAAUUGGAUCCAUAUGUUUCUGGGAGACGUCCAUUUUGAAGUGCAAAUAAAAAUGACAUAUUGUUUAACGACGGUAUACUUCACUGUUAAAUCAUGUUUUUGUAAUGAUUACCGUUCAAUAAGGACACCCCCUUCUGGCUGCGAACCUCACGCGCGUGAGAAGAUUUCCCUGCUCUCGGGUCAAGCUCAGCGCGAAAAAAUGUCGCUUAAUUGUAAUAAAAUAAACAGUUUCAUUUGUGAGCAAUUUACAUUUUAUUUCAAAUUGGGCGGAUGAUUGCUGCAGGUGGGCGAUUGUUUUCAAGAGAAGAAGCCAACAGUGUAAACUAUGGGGGUCUGGAGAGACAUUCUUAUAGU